GUAUCGUAAGAAUAAGGAUCGGCUAACUCCGUGCCAGCAGCCGCGGUAAUACGGAGGAUCCAAGCGUUAUCCGGAAUCAUUGGGUUUAAAGGGUCCGUAGGCGGUUAGAUAAGUCAGUGGUGAAAGCCCAUCGCUCAACGGUGGAACGGCCAUUGAUACUGUUUAACUUGAAUUAUUAGGAAGUAACUAGAAUAUGUAGUGUAGCGGUGAAAUGCUUAGAGAUUACAUGGAAUACCAAUUGCGAAGGCAGGUUACUACUAAUGGAUUGACGCUGAUGGACGAAAGCGUGGGUAGCGAACAGGAUUAGAUACCCUGGUAGUCCACGCCGUAAACGAUGGAUACUAGCUGUUGGGCGCAAGUUCAGUGGCUAAGCGAAAGUGAUAAGUAUCCCACCUGGGGAGUACGUUCGCAAGAAUGAAACUCAAAGGAAUUGACGGGGGCCCGCACAAGCGGUGGAGCAUGUGGUUUAAUUCGAUGAUACGCGAGGAACCUUACCAAGGCUUAAAUGUAGUUUGACCGAUUAGGAAACUAGUCUUUCGCAAGACAAAUUACAAGGUGCUGCAUGGUUGUCGUCAGCUCGUGCCGUGAGGUGUCAGGUUAAGUCCUAUAACGAGCGCAACCCCUGUUGUUAGUUGCCAGCGAGUAAGGUCNGGGAACUCUAACAAGACUGCCAGUGCAAACUGUGAGGAAGGUGGGGAUGACGUCAAAUCAUCACGGCCCUUACGCCUU
rnacentral:rRNA from 1 species